CCUACGGGUGGCAGCAGUCGAGAAUCUUUCACAAUGGGCGAAAGCCUGAUGGAGCGACGCCGCGUGGAGGUUAAGGUCUUCGGAUUGUAAACUCCUGUCAUGCGAGAACUAGUAUCGCAAGAGGAAGAGACGGCUAACUCUGUGCCAGCAGCCGCGGUAAUACAGAGGUCUCAAGCGUUGUUCGGAAUUACUGGGCGUAAAGGGUGCGCAGGCCGCGCGGGCAGUCAAAUGUGUAAUCCAGGGGCUCAACCCCUGAACUGCGCUUGAUACUUCCGCGCUCGAGCUUUGGAGAGGAGUCUGGAAUUCUCGGUGUAGCAGUGAAAUGCGUGGAUAUCGAGAAGAACACUUAGGGCGUAGGCAAGACUCUGGACAAUCUGACGCUCAUGCACGAAGGCUAGGGUAGCGAACGGGAUUAGAUACCCUAGUAGUC
rnacentral:rRNA from 1 species